UUAAGCAUAUCACUAAGCGGAGGAAAAGAAACUAACCAGGAUUCCCCUAGUAACUGCGAGUGAAGGGGGAUUAGCCCAGCACCGAAGUCUGUGGUUGUUUGACUACUAGACAAUGUGGUGUUUUGGUGGGUCCAUGGUUUAACUGCUCCACCUCAAGUCCGGCAAUGAGUACGGCUGCUGGAUUGGCCCAGAGAGGGUGAAAGGCCCGUGGGGGUGGAGUUCAGGCUAGACAGUUAAGCCCUGGGCCUACCAUGGAGUCGGGUUGUUUGUGAAUGCAGCCCAAAGUGGGUGGUAAACUCCAUCCAAGGCUAAAUACUGGCACGAGUCCGAUAGCGAACAAGUACCGUGAGGGAAAGUUGAAAAGUACUUUGAAGAGAGAGUAAACAGUGCGUGAAACCGCUCAGAGGUAAACGGGUGGAGUUGAACUGUAAGCCCUGAGGAUUCAACUAAUGAGGAUGGUCUGUGCUUGGGCAGGCUGGUUGGCAAUCAGAGUCUGAGUGAAUUAUCAGGCCCCUUUCCCUUGUUGGACUGGGGUGUGCGAUGCACUUAUCAAGUGUUGCGCGCUCUGGUGUGUCCGGGCCAACUCGUUAGUGCACUUUCUCAGGGUGAUCACCACGACCGACACUGCUGUCUAUCUAUCACAGUCAAACCGGUCAGAUUUGGUCGAUACGAUCAGAUUUGGCCGGGAUGGCAGGUAACUCACUUGGUCGGGUUCACUCGGUCAUUUGAGCGUAAUUAGCUGGCUAUGAUGGAUUUGUACGGUGUGUCGGAGGUUGCGGCUUGUGUGUGCAUUGGUGCUAAUCGGGCGCCUGCAUUAAGCCUGGCGGGUAUGUUUAUCAGACCUGUUGGUAACUUGAUGUAGUGCGCUCGGUAGUGGCCUGUGUGACACUUAUUUGGCCUAUAGUCUGUGGUGCUGUGGUAGACUAUCCACCCGACCCGUCUUGAAACACGGACCAAGGAGUUUAACAUGUGCGCGAGUCAUUGGGUGUUACGAAACCCAAAGGCGUAGUGAAAGUGAAGGGUCGGCUUGCCCGAUCUGAGGUGAGAUCCUACUGUGUUCAUUAAUUGGCACUACCAAGCAAUCAAGCAGUAGGCGCAUCACCAGCCCGUCUCAUGGCGUAGUCAUAUGACCUUGUUGUUGUGUGCACCGUCGGGGCGGAGCCGGAGCGUACACGUUGAGACCCGAAAGAUGGUGAACUAUGCUUGCGCAGGUUGAAGCCAGAGGAAACUCUGGUGGAGGACCGUAGCGAUUCUGACGUGCAAAUCGAUCGUCUAACGUGAGUAUAGGGGCGAAAGACUAAUCGAACCAUCUAGUAGCUGG
rnacentral:rRNA from 1 species